rnacentral:rRNA from 1 species
CGCAAGCCUGACGGAGCAACGCCGCGUGAGGGAGGAAGGCCUGUGGGUUGUAAACCUCUUUUCUCGGGGAAGAAGGUCUGACGGUACCUGAGGAAUCAGCAUCGGCUAACUCCGUGCCAGCAGCCGCGGUAAGACGGAGGAUGCAAGCGUUAUUCGGAAUUAUUGGGCGUAAAGCGUCCGUAGGCGGCUAAUCAAGUCUGCUGUCAAAGCCCACAGCUCAACUGUGGAGAGGCAGUGGAAACUGAAUAGCUAGAGUGUGGUAGGGGCAGAGGGAAUUCCUGGUGUAGCGGUGAAAUGCGUAGAUAUCAGGAAGAACACCAGUGGCGAAGGCGCUCUGCUGGGCCAUAACUGACGCUGAUGGACGAAAGCUAGGGGAGCG